rnacentral:snoRNA from 1 species
UUGUCCUGGCCUAUUUUUUCUGCUCCCCUGUGCUCAAGUUCUAAACAGGGGUAGUCCUGGCGGGGACACACCAGCAAAUUUCCCUCUCAGUUUAGGAGGGCCGUCCUAAGAAUAGGGCUGGCUCUUAAAGGCACGAGAGGACAAU